rnacentral:lncRNA from 1 species
GAUCCACUUUUCUUCCUCAAUCGCUCAAUUUUGUUCCUUACGAGGAUAACCAGAGGUGUAAAGACCUUGAUUUCAUCCAUCUCCUUGAUCGACAAACAACCAAUUAAGGGAUAACCUUCAGAGCUUCCUUUUCCUGACUCAGUUCUUCCAACCACCGAAUUUGGCCUUACCAAUCUAGGUGCAGACCCCGAUGCCUCAUCCAAAUUAAGUGGUAACGCCCCUUAGCGUUAAAGAGUGAGAACCUUACGUACUAACUCCUUAAACACAAGAUGGGAUGACACGGCUUGCACGUCACACAAGUUUACAUAAUAACCCACAUUUCCCUCAUUUACUUGGCUUUUACGCCUGACAUCCAUUUCUUACUUGGCUUUUACGCCUGACAUCCAUUUUUCACUUGGCUUCUACGCCUGACAUCCAUUUCUUACUUAGCUUCAAUGCCCUUGAAGAUCUGGGGAGAAAAAACUUAAAACGUAAGUUAAAGACUUAAUGAGUGAUGAGUUUAGAAAAUGUCUGUCGCCACGUGCUCGAGACGACGCAGAGCGGUCGACGUCCUCAAAAGAAUUUUUUUUUAAAUUUUCUGUGAAAAUAGGAGUCGCCACCAAUCCUUUUUUUUAAGGUGUGAUUGGACACCAAAAUAAAGUAAAUAAGUUUUAUUUCAAAAAUUGUCUGUAAAAAAUAGAGUUGGGUUCGAGAGUCAUUUGUGUAUAGGGAAGGUAUUAGCACCUUGUAACACUUGUUUAGAAAACAGUGGCCAAACUUAAAGUCUUGAAUAAAAUUUAUUAAAUUUUUUUUAUGUCUUAUUUUCUUGCUCAUCACCCUCAUAUUUAAAGCAAUGAUCCCAUCAAAUAAGCGGAAUAAUAUUCCAUUAAUUAGACUAUAUUGAGAAAAAUUUUCCAUCUCAAGAAAAUGAAAAAUUAUUACAAUUUCUCAAAAACUAUCAUAGGAUAGUCUUCGAAUAAUUUUUUUUAAAAAAAUUGACCAAAAUCAUUUUUUAUUGGGAUCAAAUCUUGGACUCCCAUAGAUAUCAACCUCUCACCUCCAGAAUCUAGAAAUAACGGACUCCCAGAAAGUUCUAGAUUUCGUCUUAGGAUCUUUUAGCAAAAUAGGAAUGAGUUAUUAAAAAAAAGUUGAUUAGGAAAACUUAUGGAAUAUAGAUUUUUUUAAAGAAAAUUUAAAAGGAUAGUUUUAAAGUAAAAAUUUCUAAACAGUUAAAAAAGAAAAUUUAAGAAAGACUUCAAAUUUAGGGUCAAUAUGAAAUAAUGCACAAAUGAAAUCAAAUAUAUCACACUAUGGAUUAAGCAACCAAAAUAAGAUUUUAUUUUUUUAAAAGUAUUGGAAAUUGAUCUUGGACUCCCAAAUAACCGAUUCCCUCACCUCAAGAAUUUAGAGAUAACGGGCUCCCAGAUAUUUCUAAUUCCAUCGUCGAUUUUUUUUCUCUUCAGAAUGAUAAAAUGUAAAGAUAAAUAUGAUAUAAGAAGAAAAAAAUAAUUGAUAUAAAAUAUCAUGGUAACAUUGCAAAGUGUAAAAAAAAUUCAUAAAUUUAAUACUACAUGAUAAUAAUUAUUAUGCAUGCAAGGAAAAUAAAUUAAAAUAAAUAAAAGAAAAAUAGAAACGGUAGAUAACGAAAAUGAAUAAAUAAAGAAAUAAUAAUAAAUAAAAGAAAUAAAUAAAUAAAUAAAAGAAAUAAAUAAAUAAAUAAAUACUAAAAAGGAAAGAAAAAAUAAAGAAAUGAAAGAAAUGAAAGUAAGAAGAAAUAAAAGAAAAAGAUUUUUUUAUAAAAAAAAUAGAGGGGUGGCGGCCGCAACUUGCCGCAGCCCAUAAUAAUAAUAAUAAAUAGUAAUUAUAUAAAUAAAUUAAGUUUUAAGUAUAUAUAAAAAGCAAUAGUUAUAAUAACAAAGUUAAAAGAAAACAGAAGUUUAAAAAAAACAGUAAUAAAAAAACGUUAAUAACAAAUAAUAUAUAUAUUAUUAUCAAUAAGUAAAUAAAAUUUAAAUAUAAAUACAUAAUUUUUUUAUAUAUAUGUUUCUAAAGAGAAUAAAAUAUUUUUAAAGAGAAUAAAGUAAAUAUCAAGAAUAAGACUUGUCUCUUUUUCUUUUUCUCUAUUUUUUAGGAAGAUUAAAGUACAAAAUAACUCAUGUGAAUUCGUGAGUAGCAUUAGUUUCUGCAAGGUUUGUCACAAAUUUGAUACGCAUUGAUACGAUCCUUUUAAAACAGGGCAAAGAGGUAUAAGCGUGAAUAAACAAAAAUCGGAGGAAACUGUUGCUAUUUUUAUGCAUAGUACUUCUUCACAAAAUCUGCACUUAAUGGGUUAGGAAAAUCAUUCUCAUCCAUGCUUGUGAGGAUUAAAGCUCCACCAGAGAAUACCUUUUUUUACUACAUAUGGUCUCUCAUAAUUAGGAGUCCACUUUCCUCUAUGAUUUUUUUGAAAUGGCAGGAUCCUUUUCAAGACCAAAUCCCCUUCCUGAAAACAACGUUGUUGAACUUUCCUAUCGUAUGCACGAGUCAUUUUCUUAUGAUAAAGUUGUCCUCUACACAACACGGUCAACCUUUUCUCUUCUAUGAGGUUUAAUUCCUCGUACCUCGUCUGUGUCCAUUCAGCCUCUUCUAGUUCUGCUUCUUUGAUUACCCUAAGGGAUGACACCUCGACCUCAAUAGGCAAAACAGCUUCCACGCCAUACACCAAAGAGAAAGGAGUUGCCCCAGUUGAUGUGCGAACUGACGUUCGGUAACCGUGUAAUGCAAAUGGUAACAUCUUAUGCCAAUCUUUAUAUGUGACAAUCAUCUUUUCAAUAAACCCUAAACCCUGGACUUGAGAUUCACUUUCACCAACGUCUCGUGAUUUUUCUGGGAUUUCCACCAACACCUCGUAAUACUCAUUUCUUUCUUAGACCUGAGGUUCACUUUCACCAUCAUCAUCUUAAGCCAAACGUUAGUUACGAAUAGACAUUUUCCUUAAGACAUCAACCUUAAUUAUCUUCUUGGAAAGCCAAACUUCUUAUCGCCUGACUCUCUUCUCGAAAAGUCACAAAACAUUUACUUCGCCCCAGAGGGCUGUCCAAUCACCUCAUACGAACAUCAAACUUUUCAACUGAGCAUCUACCUCAUCAUGACCAUACCUAGGUGUAGGCACUUCUCCUCGCGUCACUACACCCAACACCUAGUUCUUCACAUAUAAUCGCGUGCUCCUUCCUUGCCAAAUAAUUCUCAUCGUGUUGCUUACUUUAAUGUGGUGGCACUUAAGCCCAAAUACUUCUUUUAGCAUCACCCUUUCUCCUAUCGCUUUCUUCUUCGCAAAAUACCUCUUCAACAAGACUCCCUUUUGGAUUCGAGUCUCACAAGAACAAUAAGUUAAGUUAGGUAGGGAGUGAUCAUAAGAGCAAACUUUAGAUACCAAUUUCCAUAUAAAAAAAAAUACAAGUUAGACAAUUAAAUACAUGAAAAUAUAGAACAAACAGAACCAAUAUGUAUUUAAAUCUCAAGACAAACUAUGAAAAUCUAAGGAAAAACGAGAAAAAAUCUCAACCAAGAUUGUAUUUUACACGAACAACUCACGACAUUAGCAUUGGGUGCCACAAGAUUGAGGUUUUUGACUUCAUUUUUGUUUAAAAUCUCGAGACAUUCUUGGUCCACAUAUAUCCAAAAAUUAAACAUAUAAUGGCACUAAAACCUCAUGCGUCAACUAAAUCUCGAGACACCUACAUUAAAUUUCGACUCAUAUUUAUAUAUUCUCGAUUAAGAUUCUACCAAAAUUCAAGCGUGAAGUGCAGAUAUAUUGAGAAAAUCCCCUAAGUGAAACUUCAAAGUCGAGAUUUCUUAGAUAUAAAAAAUAACUUAUACAAACCAUAAGAUUCCAUAUCAAAACUACUAUGUCAAAAUUAAACACAACAAACGGUGAAAUAAUGUUGUAAAACAAAGCUUAACGUAGAGGAUAAACAUUUGAAGGUCGCAAAUCACAGGGAACAAAUUUGAUUUUCGAAAGAAUUUCACGGAGAACUUGGAAGAAGUGAGAACCCAGAUUGAAGAAGGUAAGAUAAAAGGUUUUUCAAACAUAGGUAAUUUUGUCAUUUCACAUUACUUGUAUUUGAAUCUCCAACGUCUAAAUUAAAAUCUCGAGUCCAAUCUCGAUUGAGAUUAGUCGAGAAGAAAGCAUACAAAUAUCAUUUUAAAAAGAGAGCUAUUUGUGAAAAGUGAACCAAAAAAGGUUGUUUUAGAUCAUUUCUCUAUCAAUGGUUAUCUUAACUAUGCUUCCCCACUUAAGGGACGUAUUGAUACAUAUUUUAGCAUUUGACAUUUUUUAUUUUUUUCAUUAUUUGCUACCGUGCUUACUAUUUUCUUAUCAUACAAAAAUAAUUUCACACCAAAUACCUAUUAUUUAAUCCAAAGUAAAAUAAUCUAUAUACUACAAAUUAUUGAAUAAUUAAAGUAUAAGAAGGUAGAAAUAUGAAAGAGCCCAUUAGAGUGCAAAGAAAACGGGAAACAACCAACAAAAUCAGCGGUCCAAACCUCUACCGCCCUCGUUCUUCCUUGUGCUGCAUUUCAAUUUAUAAUCUCUUCCAUGGCGCCUGUGACUGAUCGAGCCACAGGCGCCAUUAUUGCCGCCAUCUCUGUUUCUGUAGUCCUCUUCUCUUACCUUCUUAUUAAACAUCAUCCCAAGGAACGCUCCAGGAAUAACACAAAACCCUUCUCUGUACCGAAGAGAAGUCCAAAAAAUGGGGUUGUAGGCGCCAUUGGCAACACCCCUUUGAUACGGAUUAACAGCCUCUCUGAGGCCACCGGUUGUGAGGCAACUUCCCGUUUCUCUAUUUUUCUCUGUUUUCAGAUUUCUUGUUCAACUUAUGGGCUUCUUGUUCUUGAUAAUUUGUUGCUCAUUAAGUGCCUGUGUCAUGUAUCGUGUCUUAUCGGUUGAUUUGAUGUUUUGCUUCGGAUUUUUAGAUUCUGGGGAAGUGUGAGUUCUUGAAUCCUGGUGGGAGUGUAAAGGAUAGAGUUGCAGUUAAGGUAAUUGAAGAGGUGAGUUAAUUUUCUUUUCUUGAUGCAUCUUCUGGAUUCACUGUUGCGUUAAUUUGAUUAAUAAUGUUGAUUUUGUUGAAAUAUUGUUGAGUCGUUUUUUGUUCUUUGGAAACAGCUCGGUAGAAACUUAAAGAAUUCUAAUUGGAUUCGGUAUAGUAUAGGCUUCUUUAUCUCAACAGACCAAUUAUAUCUGUAAAUUGCAAAGUGAGAUUGAAAUUUGUCAUAUUUAACCUAGAAUCCCAUCCAUCAGUGCCUUAUCCACUUAUUUUUCAAUAAGAUCACUCGUCAAGUCCUUCAAAAAUGAAAAAAAUAAAAGAGGUGGGAGGGCGUACCUUGUCUUAAAUUCUUAAAGCUUUGACUCCGUCGAUAAGGAAGAUUGAAGAUAUAGUAUCUUAAAUGUAACCAUUGAUCUAGAGGUGGGAGGGGCUACCUUGGAAAUUAAUGUGUUGCACAACACCAUAUUUUAAUUGCAGCACAAUCAUGUGUUACCCCAUAUUAAUCCCUUACUUUCAACAUAUAAUGUGAGCUUGUUAAAUUAAAAACGCAACAAGUCAGGAGGAUGGCAUCCUCACAGGCCGUUAUGGAAAGGAAAUUCAUCAUGCUGUUGUAGACAUUCUAAUAUGAGGUUUUCCUUGUAGGCCUUAGAAUCUGGUAAGCUGGUUGAGGGUGGUGUAGUUACUGAGGGAAGCGCUGGAAGCACUGCUAUAAGUCUUGCUACAGUUGCUCCAGCUUAUGGUUGCAAAUGCCAUGUGGUUAUUCCAGAUGACGCUGCUAUUGAAAAAGUAUGUAUUGUAUUUUUGGACUUCAUUCCUGCAGUUCUUUACAAAAUAGAUAUUUCAAUUUCAUUGAAAUACCCAUUACAUUUGUAUUAAUUUUUUCUUUUUUGAAUAACAGUCUCAAAUACUUGAAGCACUUGGAGCUCAUGUUGAAAGGGUAAGACCAGUGUCAAUUACACACAGAGAUCAUUAUGUUAACAUUGCUAGAAGGAGAGCAGCACAAGCCAAUGAGCUAGCUUUGAAGCGAAAAACUGAAGAGCAACUAUGUGUGGGAGACUUGGAACAAAUUAAUGGUCACAUUUAUGGGGGAGAAACCCAAGAUUCUUUCUUAAGUAAUUGCGAAGGUGGCUUCUUUGCUGAUCAAUUUGAAAACUUGGCAAAUUAUCGAGCUCAUUAUGAGGGUACGGGACCAGAGAUUUGGGAACAAACUGGUGGGCACAUCGAUGCCUUUGUUGCAGCUGCAGGAACCGGUGGUACUGUGGCCGGUGUUUCCAGGUUUCUCCAGGUAAACUCUGCAUUCCUUAUCCUUCCAAAUCUGUGUGUAUAGUUUUCUGAGGCAAUUGUGCAACUUCUCUUCCACUUCUUCAACAGGAGAAGAAUCCAAAUGUUAAGUGUUUCCUCAUAGAUCCACCCGGUUCUGGCCUGUUCAACAAGGUGACUAGAGGAGUUAUGUACGCCAAAGAGGAGGCUGAAGGACGAAGAUUAAAGAAUCCUUUUGACACAAUAACUGAAGGAAUUGGAAUCAAUAGAUUAACGCAGAAUUUCUUGAUGGCAAAACUUGACGGGGCAUUUUGUGGAACAGACAGGGAAGCUGUUGAAAUGUCAAGGUUAGUGGCCAAACCAUUGUAGAACUAAUUUCUUGAUGGUAUCAUCUCCCUUUCUCUACUGAUGCAACUAUCUGUUUUUUUUGGUUUAUUGAGGUUAUUGAGACCUUGUUACUUUUGACCCAAUUAUAGUUGUGUUAAUGUGGAAUGAUCAAAGUUUAGAGGAUCAAUGAAAACUAACCUCUCCUGCUUACGCCACAAAAGACUCAACCGCUUGGACUUUAUUCUCUCGACUGUGCCUUCUCUCCCAUCAUGAAAUAUUCGGAUCCCUAAGAUGAGUUUUUGAAAGUUCUCCUGUUUGUCAGUCAUGGUUCUGUAAAGAAUGGUUUUUUUUUAGAAAUUUCGUUUGACUUUAUAAUCGGGAUCCACUAUAAUUUCACUGUGGUUUGUCACCGGGACUGCAAUUGUCAAACGAGUGGAUUUUUUAAAAACAUCCUGAUACAAAAAGCACUACGUUAGGGAUUCGAAUAUUUCACGAAGUUCCAAACGAUUGAAUGCUCUAUGACUUAAGUAGAAUGUUUUCUUUUAAUUCUAUAAUUAGAUCAUGAAGGAUCAUAAAUGUUAAUUUUUAUUGAUUUCUAAUAUUUGAUGAUUCAGCAUCAAUGGAUUUGAGAUUGGGACAUCCACACAAAAAUCUCGUUAUUAUAUAUAUAGAGCAUGCUGUUUGUAUUCUCACAUUUACUUUCUCCAUAGCUUUAAUCUUCAUGUUCAAUUUUAGCAACGCUAAUCGAUCUUCUUGCAACGUUAUAAACCAGAUAUCUGCUGAGGAAUGAUGGGCUCUUUCUCGGGAGCUCUUCAGCCAUGAAUUGUGUUGGAGCUGUGAAAUUGGCCCAAUCAAUUGGCCCCGGAAAAACCAUUGUCACCAUUCUUUGCGACAAUGGAAUGAGGCAUCUGAGCAAAUUUUUCAGUUCAGAGUAUCUGAGUCAAUACAAUCUGACGCCCAAGGCUACUGGCUUAGAAUUCCUCGAAUCCAGGUGAAAUGGUAGAGCUAUGAGUCUCAGAAUGUCGUGUUAAAGAGUAUGGAGGUUUGCGUCAUCAUGAUAUGCAACUGAAUAUAGAGAAUUAACAGCACAUCAUAUUUGAAGGUCUUGAAGUAACUAAACUGUUGUAGAAUGUUGGAUACGAGUAAUUCAUCGAGAUAUUCAAUUUUGUAAGACUUAAGACAUUGUUG